rnacentral:lncRNA from 1 species
CUAACUGCUUCCCUCAACAUGCUUCUCUGCUUGGCAGGACUCUGCAGAAGUUGAUGGUCCCCUGCAGGACAGGGGAGCCUGGGCCUCCCGUCUGCGACCAAACGCGGCUAGUUGAACACUCCUCAGAAGAGGAAAUCAGGAAAUGAAGGUUUUCUUCUGGAUACCCCAGAUCUUUGAUGAUGCCAGUGAGGAAACAUCCACACCCUUUGGUUAGACGGUGAAGCAUGAGGCUGUGGUUAUUUUCAUCAUUUACUCCAUGGAAGGUUGAAAGCUGUUAAGCAGAAUCAAUCUUAGGACAGAGAACGGUGGAACUCCGGAAGGUGCAACCUUACCAGCAUCUUGGUGGAUGCUUCCCGAUUGUAGCAUCCUUUUCAUCUUCAACUUAUAUUCCAAGCUGUUACCUAGAAUAAAUCCCACCAUUUCUAGCUAAUGCACGGUCUUUGUUUUGAAUGGAAAAGAGGGAAAAUAUAUUGAUCCCCUCUGGCAGCACAGGAGAUACGCCUAAAAUGGAAUAUCUUUCACCAUCAUGAAUAACAUUAAUCUUUACAGUUCUCCAAAGUAAAUAAUUACUGUAUAGUUGGCUUCCUAUUUAUAUGAAUUGACAGCAUCCUUUGAGUCUCCAGGUGACAGAAAUUCUCUCCAGAAACCAUUCUUAAGAUUAUUGUCAAAUUCCUUAAUGAGGAAUUAGAAGCUAAAGUGGCUAGCCUCUAGGUACAACCGGUUGGCAACAUGCUGAUCUUCUCCCUUCUGGAUUCUUCAGAGAGGGUUGAUGGAUAAAGCUCUGAAGAGCUGUUGAGCAUGCCAAGUCUUCUGGUGUGAGGGCAGCCACCAUGCCCCAGUCUAUGCUGAGCCUGUCUUGUGUAUUUCCAAGUACUCAGGUGGUUGGGGAACACAACAUUUCAGAUGAGGAAAUGACUUUGGUGAGCAUCACCUCAAGUAGCCACACUAUGUCCUUCUUUCAUUGAUC